AGCAGCAUGCAUACAAGCUGUAUGCACUCAACAAAAUCAUCAUAACAGUAGGCACUUUAACAAAAACAUAACAGCAACAUGGUUGGCCAUUUUUCAACACAAGUACUAUAGCAAUCCAAAAAAUAAAGAUAGGAACGCAUACCUCUAUGGUGGCUGGCGGGAAUUUGUGGAAGAUAAUCAUCUUAAUGUCGGUGAUGUCUGUGUUUUUGAGCUAAUUAAACUUCCUGAAAUCUUAAUGAAAGUUGUCAUCAAUCUGCUUGUCGAAAAUACAAGCAAAGCUUGCGAUUCACUAGGUAAGUAGAACUUAUUAUACAUCAUUGAUUCAAUAAUCAAUUUGUUUAUAUGACAAUCUAUGGAGAUGUUUUGUUGCUUCUUAUCAUUGUAAUAGCUUUCGGGAGCAUAGACAGUCGAGUUAAUACCAGGAGCUUGGUCAGUGAUGCUGAACCUACUUGUCAACAAAGUCUAUGUCCCUCCAGCUCCGGUGAAUCUAAAGACCUAACAGACUCGUACAUCGAAACCUUGGAUGACUCACCACUAGACCAGGAAACAAAGAAGUUGACACCCCGGAGUAUUCAGCCUUGUAACAUGACUUGAACCAGCCCAAGUGGAAACAUAACAGAAGGACUCAAAUAUUUAACAGAAUAACUUGGAGGUGAACUCAAAUAUUCUGCAGAAGAUGAUAGUGGAAGGACGUCAGGUGCUCAGAGAUGUCUGAAACCUGACCCUGUAUACCAGAAACAAAGAGCUUGUAUAGGAGGUGGUGCUUUUAGAACUUCAAAUUCCUCUUUCAGUGUUGUGAUACACCCAUCAUAUGUUGGUUCUUGUAGUGCUCUGCAUAUACCAAAGGAAUUUGGCAAAAGAUAUUUGAAGAACAGCGGAGAAAUGAUGCUGAGAAUUGAAGAUGGGAAAACUUGGACUGUUGAGUACGAAAGAAGAGCAAGGAAUAAAGGUAGAAAAGCAGAGUUUAAGAGUAACAGUUGGGGACAAUUUACGAUAGACAAUGAAUUGGAGGUGGGAGACGUUUGUGUGUUUGAGCUGAUCAAUGAAA